CGCGUCCUUAAUCAAGGGGUUGCAUGCCCGCCCAAUGAGCGCUAAGUGAGGUCGGGAUUGCUAACACCAUGAUAGUAUUCGUACUUACCGCGCCUCCACUCCUACAAGAGUCGGGAAAGGCGCAAUUUCUGUAUUG